rnacentral:misc_RNA from 1 species
AAAAUUAUGCAACAAAACAGAACAUAUUUAAAGAGCUCCGUGGCCUUUGUCCAAGCUACAUUGAUAAUGAAGUUCAUUCUACUCACUCGCAAGUUCCGUGUUUCUCAUCUAUAUCAAAUUGUAAAAACGAUCUGGAUUGUUUGAUUGGUUUAAAAUGUUGUUCAGACGGAUGUGUUAAAAAAUGCACUCCUGUAAUAACGGAAAAUGAAAUAUUAGCAAAUGCUUACAAGCCAUCUGUGUACACGUACAACAAUUCGCAAGACUGCGAAUAUAAAAAUACUACAAUUAAGCACAAUGCAACAUUCAUCAAUAGUGAAUGUAGAACUUGUCGCUGUCUUAAUACAACUAUCAACUGCAUAUCUAAAACUAAUGGCUGUCCUGACAAAAAUUUAUCUUCACUUAAACCAUUAAUUGUAAAAAUGUUUAUAAAAGGAAAACGAUGAUUUAUGUUUAUAUUAAUGAGCAAAAUCUCUGAAAUCUUAAACAAAGGUUCAACAGAGUUUUCCCUUGUUUCUGUUUGGUGCAUUGAUAUCAUUGCAGUCACAAUGUAAGAAGAGGUGCGGAAAAGCUCUCCAAUCAUCGCCCACAGAUUUUUAAUGAGCUCAUGUCAUUAAGACGAGUUUUUUUUAGACUAUUGAGAAUUUGGAUUCAAAUUUUUCCUUCAAUCUCUGUAAAUAUCCAAAGAUGCUAUGAUGUGUAGAAGAGAAAAACAGAUGUUUUAUUAAAACCCACAAAUGUAAAUAAAGCUUAAACUGUACAAUAAAUAAAAGUAUUUAUUAA